UCCAUGGAAUAGACCCCCUGCCUACUCAACCUUUCCUGCUAGCUCAGCCCCUCUAGUCCUUGCAACAUCUACGUGAAACUUCUCUACACCCUUUCCAGCUUGACAACAUCUUUCCUAUAACACGGUGCCCAGAACUGAACACAAU